AUGGUGUGGAACGAGGACUACAAGAUCACCUCGGAUGAGCUCUGGUCGCUCAACUCUUCUGAGUGUCUCCCUCGUGACAUCCUCAUGUUCCCUCAAGUGAACAUCGACAACCCACAUAAAGUGCACUUCCUUAUGAGCGAGUUUGAAUGGGCGCUCAAGAAGAUGUGGGUGGUCGUCAUUAACAUGAAGACCAAGACCGUGGAUUCAUUCUCUAAAUAUAUCAAUGGAAUGGAGGGCCUUGAAACUGACGACGGUGACUUAACCAGAAAAAGGUCCGAAGCACCCAUGUCAUUUCUCCCCUGCGAGUUCUCCAAGUUCCUCCAACCCUCGAGUUGA
rnacentral:rRNA from 1 species